rnacentral:lncRNA from 1 species
AGCCGACCACCACUCAGGCCGGUGGGACAGUCCUCGAUGAUGCCGAGCGACCAGGUCCACUGACCGACGACAGCAACCAACGGCCGAAAAAUCAAAAACAAAGUGAAAAAUAGGGCAUCCGAAAAAUAGUGAUUUUCAAAGGAUUUUUUUCAACAGAAAAUUCUACAAAGAUUCAAAAUGAAAACCCCUAAAAAAUUGAGGGAAUAAGAGAGAAGAGAUUUAUCUAAUUUUUGAAGGG